AUUUGGUGCCAUUGUGAGGCUCGAGCAGUCGAGCUCGGCUCAUUCACAAGCCGCCCUCCCGCUCAGGGCCUCAGCCCUCAGGUUCAUAUCCUCCCCUCUGUUUCUCUUCUCAAAAAAAAAAACUUUCCUUUCUCUCGUAGAGAAACUUUCUCCUGAUCUCCUCCCUUGCUCGAGAUCUUCCUUCCCUGGCGUCGACGACUGGGCGAGCGGCGGCCCAGCCCUUUGCCGGCGACGAGCGCGUCCUCCAGGCUUGAACUCGACUGCUAGUCGCAACGAUGGACGACGGGGACCUCGAUUUCUCAAACCCAGACACGUUCUUGUGCCCUGCCAUCGGCAACGAUCCGCCCAGCAGCUGCUCUAUGGACAGCUACUUCGAUGACAUCUUGAAGGAUACAGAGCACCAUGCUUGCACCCACACCCAUACCUGCAACCCGCCAGUCCACGACAAUUCACACACCCACACCUGUGUCCAUGUCCACACCAAGAUUGUCGCGGCUUCACCAGACGCCGCUGAGACUGAAGAAUCGCCAUCUGAGAACAACUCCAAGAAGCGCCCGUCCGGUAACCGAGCAGCGGUGAGGAAGUACCGGGAGAAGAAGAAGGCUCACACAGCAUUGUUGGAGGAAGAGGUGGUCCACUUGAGGGCUUUGAACCAGCAACUCAUGAAGAAACUCCAGAAUCACGCCGCGCUUGAGGCAGAGGUAGCCAGGCUUCGCUGCCUGCUUGUUGAUAUCAGAGGGAGGAUUGAGGGGGAGAUUGGUGCUUUCCCUUAUCAGAGGCCAGUCAAGAACAUUGGUUUGCUGUCUAGUGUUGACCAGGGAAGCUUCCUUGGUGGUGCCCAGGUUACCAACUCCUGUGAUUUCAGAUGCAAUGAUCAGAUGUAUUGCAAUCCUGGAAUGCAGGAGGCUAUGAGUGCUCAGGUCUUGGGGCAAGGUGCUUGCGAUAUCGCUAAUAUCCAGUGCAUUGGAAGUGCAAAGUCUGGAUCCACAAAGCUACCUGUCUGUGGGGGUGUGGACACAGUACCUACUGGCUGCUUGCCAAAUGUUGAAAAGAAGUGAAGGGCUGUAGUGAAGCGUAGGCAUAUUUGUCAUUGCAUGUGGGCAUGUGGCUACUGCUGUUCUCUCAACAUGGAACUUAUUCAAGUACAAAUAGGAGAUGGACUGCUGGUGGCAUGGUCUCUCCUUUCAGAGACUACUGGGUCUCGGCGUUCUGCAUCCAAGAAAUGCUGUAUAAACACUCUGGUGGUGGUGUUUAUGGUCUCUCCGUUUUCACUGACUACUGGUUCUCAGCAUUCUGCAUCCAAGAAAAUGCUGUAUAAACUGCUAGCUUCUAUAUUUAGGGCCACAUCUUGUUCAAACUGUUAUGUGUCUGAGUUGGUUGCCGAUGAUGCUUCUAUGGUGCCUGAGGCGAUUCAAGUUUGUUAGCUCUGAAGCUGACAGGACAUCUUCGUUCUUUUACUUAGUUGCCAGAUGCUCUCUGAUGAAGUUCAGAACUGAAGCAGAUCUGAAGGAGUUGAACUGGCUAAAUUGUGCCAUCUGUGCUUGAUCUCAAGUUUGAUGUGAAUCUAUCCGAAAUCAUUUGUCUAUUGUAGGUGAUAUGUCUCUUUGUUGCUGUGCCCGUGAUUCCAAGUACAUGGAUUCGAUUAUUAUUUGAAUAUUUCACCAUUCAAUUCAUUAGUAAAUAAUGUAUUGCAUUGAUUGAAACU